UGACUUUGGUCAAAGUCAAACUACUCUAAGUUUAACUAAUUUUAUAGAAAAAAGUAGUAAUAUUUUUAAUCCAAGAUAAAUAUAUUAUGAAAAUUUAUUUAAUUACAGAUUUAAUGAAACUAUGCUGGUGUUGUAAAUAUUACUACUUUUUUCUACAAAAUCAUUCAAAGUUAGAGUAGUUUGACUUCGACCAAAGUCAA
rnacentral:pre_miRNA from 1 species